rnacentral:rRNA from 1 species
AGACGGAGGGUGCAAGCGUUAAUCGGAAUACUGGGCGUAAAGCGCUCGUAGGCGGCUUGUUAAGUCGGAUGUGAAAGCCCUGGGCUCAACCUGGGAACUGCAUUCGAUACUGGCAGGCUAGAGUAUAGUAGAGGCAAGUGGAAUUCCGGGUGUAGCGGUGAAAUGCGUAGAUAUCGGGAGGAACACCAGUGGCGAAGGCGGCUUUCUGGACCAAUACUGACGCUGAGGCGCGAAAGCGUGGGGAGCAAACAGGAUUAGAUACCCCAGUAGUCC